rnacentral:lncRNA from 1 species
AGUUGUGCUCUUCGGUUCCACAAGGCUCAUGCAUUUUGUUCAAACUCUUGUGCUUCUGUCUUACACAUGCUUGUAUAGGCAUUGAUUCAUUUACAUGGCCUUCUUUCCUUUUGAUCCAGUUAUAUACUUUUUAAUCUUAGCAUGCCCAAUUCCUACAUCAUUGGUUCCAUGUUAGUUCCAAACUAAAUCUUUACGACUUAAAAUUUUGUAAGCUAUUACAGUAUAUACUGAGCAAUUUGUGCAUAUGUUGCCUGUUUGCAUCCUUCACUGGUUUUAAAUAAUUUCUUGUUCCUUUCUCCAUCUUUUCUUUUAUAGUUGGUACCAUUCCUGAGCAGUUUAGUCAGUGCUGCUGUGGGCAUCUUCAGGGCCAUGAAUCCAGGAGUAGAAACUCCUCAGGUUCUCCAGUGCCACAGGCUCAGUCACCGCAGUCUCUCCUAUUGGGUGCUAGGCUGCAAAGCGCCCCCACCCUCACUGACAUCUAUCAAAACAAGCAGAAGCUCAGAAAACAGUACUCUGACCCUGUGUGCCCCUCCCAUGCUGGAGCUGGGUACAACUACUCAGCCCAGUCAGCCUGGCAGCCUUGGAACCUCUCCCACCAAGCACAUGGGAUCAUCUCCACAGAGCUCUGAUUGGUUCUUUAAAAAUCCUUUACCAACAAUCAUCAGCUCUCCUACUAAGGUGUGUUUCUGAAAGCAUUUUGUAGAUUGUGAAACUGGUAUAAUAUUUUAUCGAAAGGAUUCAUGAUAAGAAUAACCGUAAAUGGUUUGUUUUGGUACUGGGGAUCGAACUCAGGACCUUGCGCUUGUGAGGCAGGCAGCGGAACCACUGAGCUAAAUCCCCGAUCCUAACAGUCAUAAUUUUGAUGAGCACUCA